GUGGUUUAAUUCGAAGCAACGCGUAAGAACCUUACCAGGUCUUGACAUCCCGAUGCUAUUUCUAGAGAUAGAAGUUACUUCGGUACAUCGGUGACAGGUGGUGCAUGGUUGUCGUCAGCUCGUGUCGUGAGAUGUUGGGUUAAGUCCCGCAACGAGCGCAACCCCUAUUGUUAGUUGCCAUCAUUCAGUUGGGCACUCUAGCGAGACUGCCGGUAAUAAACCGGAGGAAGGUGGGGAUGACGUCAAAUCAUCAUGCCCCUUAUGACCUGGGCUACGCACGUGCUACAAUGGUUGGUACAACGAGUUGCGAGUCGGUGACGGCGAGCUAAUCUCUUAAAGCCAAUCUCAGUUCGGAUUGCAGGCUGCGACUCGCCUGCAUGAAGCUGGAGUUGCUAGUAAACGCCGGUCAGCUAUACGGCGUUGAAUAUAUUCCCGGGCCUU
rnacentral:rRNA from 1 species